rnacentral:tRNA from 9 species
GCCCGGGUGGCGGAAUAGGCAGACGCGAUGGACUCAAAAUCCAUUGAGGACAACCUCAUGAGAGUUCGAUUCUCUCCCCGGGCACCA